UGAGGAAUUUUGCGCAAUGGGAGCAAUCCUGACGCAGCAACGCCGCGUGGGUGAUGAAGGCCUUCGGGUCGUAAAGCCCUGUCAGGUGGGAAGAAUGUCCCGGGACUGAACAGGUUCCGGGAGUGACGGUACCACCAGAGGAAGCACCGGCUAACUCCGUGCCAGCAGCCGCGGUAAUACGGAGGGUGCAAGCGUUAUUCGGAAUUACUGGGCGUAAAGCGCGUGUAGGCGGUCCUGCAAGUCCGAUGUGAAAGCCCCGGGCUUAACCCGGGAAGUGCAUUGGAAACUGUGGGACUUGAGUACUGGAGAGGAUGGGGGAAUUCCCGGUGUAGAGGUGAAAUUCGUAGAGAUCGGGAGGAAUAUCAGUGGCGAAGGCGCCCAUCUGGACGGUAACUGACGCUGAGAUGCGAAAGCGUGGGGAGCAAACA
rnacentral:rRNA from 1 species